rnacentral:rRNA from 1 species
AGCUAAUAGAUACCCCGGUAGUCCACGCCCUAAACGAUGUCUACUAGUUGUUGGUGGAGUAAAAUCCAUGAGUAAACGCAGCUAAACGCGUGAAGUAGACCGCCUGGGGAGUACGGUCGCAAGAUUAAAACUCAAAGGAAUUGACGGGGACCCGCACAAGCGGUGGAUUAUGUGGAUUAAAUUCGAUGCAACGCGAAAAACCUUACCUGGCCUUGACAUGCCACUAACGAAGCAGAGAUGCAUUAGGUGCCCGUAAGGGAAAGUGGACACAGGUGCUGCAUGGCUGUCGUCAGCUCGUGUCGUGAGAUGUUGGGUUAAGUCCCGCAACGAGCGCAACCCUUGCCAUUAAUUGCCAUCAUUUAGUUGGGCACUUUAAUGGGACUGCCGGUGACAAACCGGAGGAAGGUGGGGAUGACGUCAAGUCCUCAUGGCCCUUAUGGCCAGGGCUUCACACGUAAUACAAUGGUCGGUACAGAGAGUUGCCAACCCGCGAGGGGGAGCUAAUCUCAGAAAGCCGAUCGUAGUCCGGAUUGUUCUCUGC